CAUAAGUUAACAGCGGCUACUGUCAAGGUGUGGUGAGAAAAGGGGAAUGAGAGAACCAAGGGCUCAAGCGGAAGGAGAGUGGCUUGGGCAUGUUCUUUCCAAUGUUACUCGCGAUCCCAGACGGACGUCUGAGGAAAAUACUCAAGUAGUGCAGUGAAAGGAAAAAUUCUAACCUCGACCGUAAUUACCGCGUGUCCAUCGUGGCUAAGACCUAGUCAAAAGAUCAGCCGACCAUUCCUACGUUUAUUAAGCGAAGGCCGAACCCAUCGGGUUUGGCCGUACGUAAUACCGUACGAAACGCCGGUCGUAGUGCCGUAAGCCGUACCCACUACAGUCUCGUCACCUUACCACACAUAUAAAUACCCAGCGUCCCGAUCGACUACAGUAUGUGUUAGCCGUCUUCGCCCCCAAAUCUUCUUUCGGCGUGGCGUCUGCAUACAUGUGAGCAUCACUGUAUUUACCGCACCGUGUACCGGCGUGGGUCCACACACAUACAAGCCUUGCUCGGCCUACACCAGUGAAAAACGGUCGAUGGGCUUUUAUCUACGCGUGCAGUGACAUACAUAUGUACAUCUGUGUGAAAUUGACUAUUCCCUCUUCAGUGACUUUCGUCAUUGCUACGUCGCUUACGCCGCCCGCAUACGAACAGUAACGCUAAAGGAGAAGACAUUUACCGGUGCCGAAAUACUGUUUGCGUUGCUGAUGAAGUCAUUCGGUGUCUCGAUCAUGAUGGCUAUGCCCAUGCAUUUCUUCAUAUUAGAAUAAUACUUUGGAACCCCACUAUUGUACUGACCCUAGGAUUAACAUUAAAAGUUAAAUUCGUGGGAUUCGGUUUGGUUGGCUUAUCAUAAAGAAAUGUGCAGCUAGAAGGAAACGAACUAAAACUAAUACUCGCGCGUAUCGCCUAUCUACUCUGACACACUGAUAUUUACAAGUUUUCAGCCACCCUCAUCGACCACAUGGAAGCGCUUUCAUCGUUGGAUUUGAUCGUAAUCCGUACUGUAACGCUGACCAAUCCAAUUGUUCACGUGUUUGUUUUGUUCUGCUCUUUCGCAAGCAAUGUAACUUUCUGCAAUUCCGAAUCUAUCGACAACCGAACUUAUGAUUGGGAUUACCCCACAAGCAAUUGCUGUGCACUUUAAAGGUGCACCCAUCCGUCCCUUGUUUUUGCAUUUAAACUGAAAACCAUUCGAAUAUAUUUCUAUUUGUGUAACGUAAUUACCAUUAUUCCUGAAUAUACUCUUUAUAAUUAGUUGACUCUAGUCUAAUAAGAUCUUUCAUCAUGAUAUUUUUAUAUAUAUAUAAUUAAUCUUAAUUGCAGCUUAUUUGAACAUAUUAUCCUUAUUACUUUAGUAGCCUUUAUACAUAUAUAUCUACCCUCUUAGCGGCCAUGAGAGCUUGUAGGAAAG